CAGAAGUUACACUAACUACUGUCUUGUCUUUCACAAUCAAGAGCUCAACACACAAGAAGAGGACCGUUCUGCUGGGCCUUCCUCAUUUCCUCAAAAAUCCCUCGUGUUUGUUGAAGACUGUAGACGUUAUCCUCACUACACUAAACAUACAGAGGAAUAGAGAGGCUGUACGUCCAGCCGACCAAACUACACCUGAAGCAGCUUCAGCCAGAGGCUCCGUGAGUAAAAUCAGCUGAUCACUGCUGCGCCACAAAAGCGUUUAAUUGAUGUGAUGGAAUGCAGCGAUGGAUCAGUGGCAGGUGAUGUGAACAGUAAAUAAAAAUGUACA